CUUUGGAAUUUGGUUUACUGACUUUAUGUCAGCCUUUGCCUCUAUUAUAGUCAUCAACCUCCANNNNNNNNNNNNNNNNNNNNNNNNNNNNNNNNNNNNNNNNNNNNNNNNNNNNNNNNNNNNNNNNNNNNNNNNNNNNNNNNNNNNNNNNNNNNNNNNNNNNUCCUACGCCAAUGACUACAAUCUUUUUUAUCUUUUCAGGGGUUUGACUGAGACUCCAGGCUGUAAUUUAGGAUAAUAACUCCUACAAGUGAUGGCCCACAGACUUUGUAAGUCAUGUUUUUACAAGCAUUCUUUGUAUUUAGUAUAUAGAUUGUAUUGCAAUUUAUUUUUACAUUUUGACUAAAAACUGAAUCUGAAACAUGUCAUUUGUAUUGAGUCAAAAAUGACUUAUAAUGACUUACAUGUUUGCACAUAAAAUUUUAAUUAUAUGUGUAUGCUUAUGUAUAUAAAUACAUUGAUGUUGUGUUUUCAUACUUUGCAGUUGAUGAUUCAUCCAUAGUGUCAGGUAAGAUAGAUAAAUCAUUUACCUUGCAAAUUGGAGGUGAUAAAUGUAAGGCACUUAAAAUAAAUAUAUAAUUUUACAGAUUUCCAUACCCUUUUUGAUGAGCUGCACAUUGUGCUUAUUGGUUGCCAUUAUGCAGGAAAAAAUACAGUUGGAAAUGCAAUUCUUAGAAAGCAUGUCUUUAAAUACAAGACAACAUAUGAAAGACAUAAUGCAAAGAGAGAACGUGCUGUAUUUGGAAGGAGGAUUACCAUAGUUCGUGUGCCUGGAUGGUAUGGGGACUUAGACCUGGACAAUGGACAACCUGAAAUCAAUCAAGAGAUACGAGACUGUAUGAAAGAAUUUCAAAAGGGUCCACAUGCAAUUAUUUUGUGUGUAACAGAAAGAUCAACUGUAACAAAUAAAACAAUGAAGACGCUGGAGAGUCUCCUGACUGACAGAGUCUGGGAUCACACACUCAUAGUAUUUACCAAAGGGAAAAAUUUGAAAACCGAAAACAUUGACAAACACAUAAAGGACAAGGACUUGCAAGUGCUGUGGGAAACAUGCGGAAAAAGACACCACAUUCUCACAAAAUGGCCAAGUCUUGAGCAGUCCAGAAAGCUGAUUGAAGACAUUGAGGAAAUGGUUGCAAAAAAGUCAAUUUCCUUUACCUUUUCCAUACCAGAGAUGAGGAAACCUGAGGAAUUCCAAGCAGAGAAAAGUAAAUUGCUGGAGCGCAUCCAAGACAAGAUAAAUCUACUUGAGAAAGAUGCAUCAAAGGAUGUGAAGAGAAGAGCAAGGGGGAAUUCUGAAAAAUUAAGACUAAAAGAUCUUCAAAAACAUGUAGAAGAAACAAUUCAGCUUCAAUCUCAAAGCUCAAGAACAGUGAUUCAGUCACAAUUGUCAACAUGUAGCCAAGCAGAUGGAGGACGUCCACCAUGUGAUACACUGAUGUUUUCAAGGACCACAACAUUGGAACAAAGGUCCAAUAAUCCAGGCUUGGAAGCAACUCUCGGUGAGGAACAGUCAGUACUUAGGACACCACCCCCCUACAGCUAUGACACCAUUACCUUAAGGAGACCUACAUUGAUAUCAAGUCCAGGCAGGCAGGACUUGCGUGGUUGGGGUUCCACUUUGGUCAAUGUCUUGGAAGAGCUAAAGGAUCAACAGUUCGAUAAUAUGAAAUGUAAGAUCGGUUUCAGAAAUGAAUGGAAAAUUGCCAGAAGCAAACUGGAUGGCAGCAGAGCUGAUGUAGCAGAGCUCAUGAUUCAAACCUGGGGUGAAUACCAGUGCAUCAUCAACAUUCGUGAUAUCAUGAAGGACAUCCCGCGCAACGACCAAGCCAUAACAAGUUUACUCAUGCCAUUUCUGGAGGUGAUUGGAGAGACAUGGUAGUCUGAAUUGCUGGCGGACAAUUUUCUGACUGCAGUACUAAAGACCCCAGGCUUUCUUCCAUCUACCACACCUGAUUCAACACAGACUGCUCAUUUGGUUAUGGAGUGUUAAAGAACAGAAACAGACCGUAAGACUUUAAGUCUGUUUUUGUGAGGUUCAGGGGUUCAAAAUAUGGGCAGUGGCUAUACAAAUUGGAAGCCCAGAUUGUCCAUGAACUUAGAGAACAGGUGUUUUGCCAAAUAUAAGUAACAGUUACAAUUGCUGUAGCACUAAAAACAGAGGGAAUGACAUCAGGAAAGAGAGAAACAAAAUCUACUAGUGUGUUACAUUUAUUCUCAAGCUUCUCUUCUGCAUUUUGAAAAGUUAAAAAAAUAAGCUCACAUAUCAUUUAAAUGAACCAUUUGAACAGUGUGCAUUCUUUGGAAAGUUUAAUAAUAAUUUGCUUAGUAUUAAAGAACGUUCAGUUUUCUACAGACAAUUAGAGUGGAUCAAUUGCAAAUCUGUAAUCAGCAGCAUGCUUACAUUUUUCUGUAAACUAAAGGAUAGUUAUAAAUAAAUAUGUCUUAUUUUGUCUUUAUUUGCUACCU
ensembl:lncRNA